rnacentral:rRNA from 1 species
CCUGGUUGAUCCUGCCAGUAGUAUAUGCUUGUCUCAAAGAUUAAGCCAUGCAUGUCUCAGUGCAAGCCACACUAAGGUGAAACAGCGAAUGGCUCAUUACAUCAGUUAUGGUUCCUUAGAUCGUACCCACAUUACUUGGAUAACUGUGGUAAUUCUAGAGCUAAUACAUGCAAAUAGAUUCCGACCAAAGAUGGAAGGAAUGCUUUUAUUAGAUCAAAACCAAUCGGUGUCGGGCUUUGCCUGCUCACCGUUGACUGGUGACUCUGAAAACUUUGUGCUGAUCGCACGGUCUAGUACCGGCGACGCAUCUUUCAAAUGUCUGCUUUAUCAACUGUCGAUGGUAGUUUCUGCGACUACCAUGGUUGUUACGGGUAACGGGGAAUCAGGGUUCGAUUCCAGAGAGGGAGCCUGAGAAACGGCUACCACAUCCAAGGAAGGCAGCAGGCGCGCAAAUUACCCACUCCCGGCACGGGGAGGUAGUGACGAAAAUAACGAUACGGGACUCAUCCGAGGCCCCGUAAUCGGAAUGAGUACACUUUAAAUCUUUAACGAGGAUCUAUUAGAGGGCUAGUCUGGUGCCAGCAGCGCGGGGUAAUUCCAGCUCUAAUAGCGUAGUAUAUUAAAGUUGUUGCGGUUAAAAAGCUCGUAGUUGAAUCUGUGUCCCACACUGUCGGUUCACCGCUCGCGGUGUUCAACAGGCAUGUCUGUGGGACGUCCUACCGGUAAAAAGGCGGCCCAACUCAAUAUCCUACUAAGGUUCUCUUCACCGAGUGUCGAGGUGGGCCGGUACGUUUACUUUGAACAAAUUAGAGUGCUUAAAGCAGGCUCAUUCGCCUGAAUAUUGUGUGCAUGGAAUAAUGGAAUAGGACCUCGAGUCUAUUUUGUUGGUUUUCGGAAUUCCGAGGUAAUGAUUAAUAGGGACAACUGGGGGCAUUCGUAUUGCGACGUUAGAGGUGAAAUUCAUGGAUCGUCGCAAAACGGACAGAAGCAAAAGCAUUUGCCAAAUGUGUUUUCAUCAAUCAAGAACGAAAGUUAGAGGUUCGAAGGCGAUCAGAUACCGCCCUAGUUCUAACCAUAAACGAUGCCAGCUAGCGAUCCGCCGAAGUUCCUCCGAUGACUCGGCGGGCAGCUUCCGGGAAACCAAAGCUUUUGGUUCCGGGGGAAGUAUGGUUGCAAAGCUGAAACUUAAAGGAAUUGACGGAAGGGCACUACAAGGAGUGGAACCUGCGGCUUAAUUUGACUCAACACGGGAAACCUCACCAGGUCCAGACACCGGAAGGAUUGACAGAUUUAGAGCUCUUUCUUGAUUCGGUGGGUGGUGGUGCAUGGCCGUUCUUAGCUGGUGGAGUGAUUUGUCUGGUUAAUUCUGAUAACGAACGAGACUCUAGCCUGCUGAAUAGACGUACUUUCUGGUAUCGCAAAGACCCUCCGCUUCGGCUUCGGUCGUUGUUGAUUGUGGUUCUCACUACCGGCGUACAAAUAUAUCUUCUUAGAGGGACAGGCGGCAUUUAGUCGCACGAAAUUGAGCAAUAACAGGUCUGUGAUGCCUUUAGAUGUUCUGGGCCGCACGCGCGCUACACUGAAGAGAUCAGCAGGUUUUCCUUGGCUCAAAGGUCCGGGUAAUCCGUUGAAGCCUCUUCGUGCUAGGGAUUGGGGCUUGCAAUUCUUCCCUAUGAACGAGGAAUUCCUAUUAAGCGCGAGUCAUAAGCUUGCGUUGAUUAUGUCCCUGCCCUUUGUACACACCGCCCGUCGCUACUACCGAUUGAAUUAUUUAGUGAGGUCUUCGGACCGGUGCGCGGCAGCGUUUUGACAUUGCCGAUGUUGCUGGGAAGAUAACCAAACUUGAUUAUUUAGAGGAAGUAAAAGUCGUAACAAGGUUUCCGUAGGUGAACCUGCGGAAG